rnacentral:rRNA from 1 species
UGGGGAAUAUUGCACAAUGGGGGAAACCCUGAUGCAGCGACGCCGCGUGGAGGAAGAAGGUCUUCGGAUUGUAAACUCCUGUUGUUGAGGAAGAUAAUGACGGUACUCAACAAGGAAGUGACGGCUAACUACGUGCCAGCAGCCGCGGUAAAACGUAGGUCACAAGCGUUGUCCGGAAUUACUGGGUGUAAAGGGAGCGCAGGCGGGAAGACAAGUUGGAAGUGAAAUCCAUGGGCUCAACCCAUGAACUGCUUUCAAAACUGUUUUUCUUGAGUAGUGCAGAGGUAGGCGGAAUUCCCGGUGUAGCGGUGGAAUGCGUAGAUAUCGGGAGGAACACCAGUGGCGAAGGCGGCCUACUGGGCACCAACUGACGCUGAGGCUCGAAAGUGUGGGUAGCAAACAGGAUUAGAUACCCUGGUAGUCCACACCGUAAACGAUGAUUACUAGGUGUUGGAGGAUUGACCCCUUCAGUGCCGCAGUUAACACAAUAAGUAAUCCACCUGGGGAGUACGACCGCAAGGUUGAAACUCAAAGGAAUUGACGGGGGCCCGCACAAGCAGUGGAGUAUGUGGUUUAAUUCGAAGCAACGCGAAGAACCUUACCAGGUCUUGACAUCCGAUGCAUAGCACAGAGAUGUGUGAAAUCCUUCGGGACAUCGAGACAGGUGGUGCAUGGUUGUCGUCAGCUCGUGUCGUGAGAUGUUGGGUUAAGUCCCGCAACGAGCGCAACCCUUAUUGCCAGUUACUACGUUAAGAGGACUCUGGCGAGACUGCCGUUGACAAAACGGAGGAAGGUGGGGAUGACGUCAAAUCAUCAUGCCCUUUAUGACCUGGGCUACACACGUACUACAAUGGCGUUAAACAAAGAGAAGCAAGACCGCGAGGUGGAGCAAAACUCAAAAACAACGUCUCAGUUCAGAUUGCAGGCUGCAACUCGCCUGCAUGAAGUCGGAAUUGCUAGUAAUCGCGGAUCAGCAUGCCGCGGUGAAUACGUUCCC